UACGUAGGGUGCGAGCGUUAAUCGGAAUUACUGGGCGUAAAGCGUGCGCAGGCGGCGCCGCAAGUCAGGCGUGAAAUCCCCGAGCUUAACUUGGGAAUGGCGCUUGAAACUACGGUGCUGGAGUGUGGCAGAGGGAGGUGGAAUUCCACGUGUAGCGGUGAAAUGCGUAGAGAUGUGGAGGAACACCGGUGGCGAAGGCGGCCUGCUGGGCAGUGGCUGACGCUGAGGCGCGACAGCGUGGGGAGCAAACAGG
rnacentral:rRNA from 1 species